rnacentral:rRNA from 1 species
AUGCAACGCGAAGAACCUUACCAAGUCUUGACAUCCUGCGAAUUUUCUAGAGAUAGAUUAGUGCCUUCGGGAGCGCAGUGACAGGUGCUGCAUGGCUGUCGUCAGCUCGUGUUGUGAAAUGUUGGGUUAAGUCCCGUAACGAGCGCAACCCUUGUCCUUAGUUGCUAGCAGGUUAAGCUGAGAACUCUAAGGAGACUGCCGGUGACAAACCGGAGGAAGGUGGGGACGACGUCAAGUCAUCAUGGCCCUUACGACUUGGGCUACACACGUGCUACAAUGGCCAGUACAAAGGGUUGCCAAGCCGCGAGGUGGAGCUAAUCUCAUAAAACUGGUCGUAGUCCGGAUUGGAGUCUGCAACUCGACUCCAUGAAGUCGGAAUCGCUAGUAAUCGUGAAUCAGAAUGUCACGGUGAAUACGUUCCCGGGCCUUGUACACACCGCCCGUCACACCAUGGGAGUGGGUUGCUCCAGAAGUGGCUAGUCUAACCUUCGGGGGGACGGUCACCACGGAGUGAUUCAUGACUGGGGUG